rnacentral:rRNA from 1 species
AGCGAACGCUGGCGGCAGGCCUAACACAUGCAAGUCGAACGAAGCCUUCGGGCUUAGUGGCGGACGGGUGAGUAACACGUGGGAACGUACCUUUGGUUCGGAACAACUCAGGGAAACUUGAGCUAAUACCGGAUGAGCCCUUAGGGGGAAAGAUUUAUCGCCGAAAGAGCGGCCCGCGUUAGAUUAGCUAGUUGGUGAGGUAAAGGCUCACCAAGGCAACGAUCUAUAGCUGGUCUGAGAGGAUGAUCAGCCACACUGGGACUGAGACACGGCCCAGACUCCUACGGGAGGCAGCAGUGGGGAAUCUUGCGCAAUGGGCGAAAGUCUGACGCAGCCAUGCCGCGUGAAUGAUGAAGGUCUUAGGAUUGUAAAAUUCUUUUACCAGGGACGAUAAUGACGGUACCUGGAGAAAAAGCCCCGGCUAACUUCGUGCCAGCCGCCGCGGUAAUAC